GAUGAACGCUGGCGGCGUGCCUAACACAUGCAAGUCGAGCGAACAGACGCGGCGCUUGCUCCUCUGACGUUAGCGGCGGACGGGUGAGUAACACGUGUAUACCCUCCCUGUCAUUCUGAUAUCUCUUCGGGACACCGGAGCUAAUACCGGAUAAUCUCCUGAACCGCAUGGUUCAAUAGUGAAAGACGGCUUUGCUGUCUCUUAUAGAUGGAUCCGCGCCGCAUGAGCUAGUUGGUACGGUACCGGCUUACGAAGGCGACCAGGCGUAGACGACGUGAGAGGGGGGUCGGCCACACUGGAAGGUGGACGGGGUCCAGGGGCCUGCGGGAGGGAGCAGUAGGGAAUCGUACGCAGUAGGCGAGAGCCUGACGGAGCAAGGGCACGUGAGUGAUGAAGGUGUUCGGAGCGUGAAGCUGUGUUAUGAGGGAAGAACAAAUGUGUAAGUAAAUAUGCACGUAGUGACGGUACCGAGUAAGAAAGCCACGGCUAACUACGUG
rnacentral:rRNA from 1 species